AACGAACGUUGGCGGCAUGCCUAACUCAUGCUAGUCGAACGAACCCUUCGGGGUGAGAGGCGCACGGGUGCGUCACACGUGGGAUCCCGCUCUCAGAUUCGGAAUAACACAGAGAAAUGUGUUCUAAUACCGGAUAAUGUCUACGAACCACUGGUUUAGCGCUUUUGGAUUGGCACUCGUAGGCUUAGCGAGUUGGUGAGGUAAAGGCAAACGAAGGCGACGAUACUUAGCUGGGCUUAGAGGAUGAUCAGCCACACUGUGACUGGGACACGGCCCAGACUCCUACAGGAGGCAGCAGUGGGGAAUAUUAGACAAUGGGCAGAGGCCUGACCCAGAAACGCCGCGUGGGUGAUGAAGGCCCACGGGUCGUAAUGCCCUUUUCCCAGGGACAAUGGUGACGGUACCUGGGGAAUCAGCCCCGGCUAACUACGUGCCAGCCGCCGCCGUAAUAC
rnacentral:rRNA from 1 species